rnacentral:rRNA from 1 species
GAUGAACGCUGGCGGCGUGCCUAAUACAUGCAAGUCGAGCGAACAGACGAGGAGCUUGCUCCUCUGACGUUAGCGGCGGACGGGUGAGUAACACGUGGAUAGCCUACCUAUAAGACUGGGAUAACAUCGGGAAACCGGAGCUAAUACCGGAUAAUAUAUUGAACCGCAUGGUUCAAUAGUGAAAGACGGUUUUGCUGUCACUUAUAGAUGGAUCCGCGCCGCAUUAGCUAGUUGGUAAGGUAACGGCUUACCAAGGCAACGAUGCGUAGCCGACCUGAGAGGGUGAUCGGCCACACUGGAACUGAGACACGGUCCAGACUCCUACGGGAGGCAGCAGUAGGGAAUCUUCCGCAAAGGGCGAAAGCCUGACGGAGCAACGCCGCGUGAGUGAUGAAGGUCUUCGGAUCGUAAAACUCUGUUAUUAGGGAAGAACAAAUGUGUAAGUAACUAUGCACGUCUUGACGGUACCUAAUCAGAAAGCCACGGCUAACUACGUG